ensembl:lncRNA
UCUGAUUCCUAAAUCUUCCAUAAUAAGUUGCAAGCAUCUCUGGGUAACAACUUGCAGACAAGCUAAGAAUAGAAAAGUCAACCACUGAAUUUCAUAUUUUGCUUUUCAUUUUUUUCUUGGACAUGCUCACUAUGUCAAGCGGUUGCAUUUCCUGUGAGGUCAGGCACCAGACAAUAGCUUUCCAAGAGCAUGGAAACAACAGAAACCCAUGAAACAAUCCCACAUCCAGAAGCACGGAGCUGCUGGCACUCACUGAAAGGUUUCCUGACUAGGUCAGCAACAUGGCAGAGACUGCACUUGCUCAAAGCCUGAAGGACGUUGGGAGGUGGAGUGAAGAGGCCAUCCCGCUUCUCAGACACGCCAUUGAUGAUGAGCGAUCAGCUCUAGCAGAGACCACAUGUGAAGGUUUCUUGAGUAACACAGAGAAGUGGAGGAAAAUGGCAGAGCUCAUCCUAUGGCAGAGGUGGAAGAAGGAGCCCGGUGCCACGUGACCAGUGCCCUGGCUUGCAGAAGGAGUGUGAAACAAGUGAGUUAAGGUGGGAAUGAGUACUUCUUUCUUUCUCCUCUUCCGCCAUGAAAUAGCAACUUCUAAAAAAGGGGUGCUGCAGAUGGUGAAGUCUUAAAUUACCACGGUGAGCUUUGCCGGAGGGCGUCUCUGGUCCCCUUAGAUGGAGCCCGUCUGCAGCUGAUUCACAGAAGGUCACGUUUGCCUGUCCUGCCCUACUCCUGAGCUUACUCAUGUAGUCAGCGCGGCUGACAGGGAUGAAAGAGCGGAACUGCUUGAACACAUUUGAUAUGGCUCUAGACAGGCAGACUGAUUUGCAAACUCAAAGCACAGGAGAGACUGAGAGCGAUUGCAGCGGAUUACUAAUUAGCUCGGAAACACAGAGGCGAGGCGUGAGGGAGGAACGUGGCUGCAGCUGAGUGGAAAGGUCAAUCUGAAAAGGAACAAACAGCGAGAACAGAGCAAAAGACUGUAGCUGGGAAACAGCCAGAGAUGUGUGGUGUCAGAAUUUGUGUGAUGGUCAAACAACAGCCUUCAAAGGAGUAGCCUAGCAGUACUGUGAGGCAGGUUUGUUAACAGCGUCAGGAGCUGAGCGUGCUGUGAUGCCUGGGGUACUGCUCAAGGCUAGAGGUGGCAGGGAAGAGGAAAUGUGAAACUCGCAAAUAUCUUUCUGUCCUAUUUGGCUGAUAAAGGUACCUGUCUACUUUCUAUCAUUUGCUGCCUUUCAGAAGACUUGCAUGUUACUGUUUCUCAGCCAGCAGCCCAGUCAGCAGGUAUUUCAGAAUAACAGAAAUUAUUUCAGCUAACUGGAGAAAUACAUACUUCUAUGCACCAGGUAACUUCAAAGACAAUUCUGUCAAUAGGGACAGCGUAUUUCCAGCGAGUCUGAGACAUUUAAAAGUAGUAGGGCUGCAGAGUUCAUUCCAACUGGAAGCUCAGGAAGCACAACAUAAGUAGCACGUUGCCAGCCCGUCAGCUGAAGCAUGGUGAUGUGCCUGUGCUUGUGGAAUGGCUGAUAUUUUCAUAGCAGAAAUGACUGACAGAGCAACGCUGUCCACAGCUCCAGGCUGCACUGCUACAGGAUGAGUUUCGAUGGCUUGAACUACUGCUGAAAUCCCUUUCUCUGUUCUAUCAAGAAAGACACUGAUCUGAAUUUAGCUAACAGUUUUUAGGCCACACUUAUACUGCACUCAGAGAGGAUCGAUUGAUUUAUUUAUAGCAGUAGUUCAAAAUUUUUGGAGUUGGAAAUUUCCUUGUCUUUCUCAUAACAAAUCAACAUCAAUACAAAUGCUAAGAGAACAUCAUCAAAAGAAAAGAAAAAAAGAAAAAAGAAAAAACUUGAAGCUAGACUCUUAGAUAGAUUUUACUUUCCAAUUGUAUGUUAUAAAUGUCCAAAACAGGUUGGAGAGAACUCCUCUACGCCUAGGUAAGUAAUAGGUGAAUUACACAGUAGUAGAUAUAUUUAAGGUUUGAAGACUAUCUGCUCUGGAACAUCCCUAACUACAGUGAAAUGCACAGAUAAUUACUUUCACAGUUUAGGGUGAGAAAUAAAAGAAAGGAAAAACUUCCUUCCGGCUAAAAUUGGUAAGGGGCAUAGUCAGAUAAACAAAAUAAAAACUUAACAGCACUCUUGGCCAGGACACCAGGCCUAUUGAUUAUGCAGCUGUGAACAUGCAAAGCCAGAGCUUCAGAAAGAGAUUUUUAAAACCACAGACCAAAGGUAACAGGCUCCAAAGUGCUAGCCCCUACACGCUCUAUACAGGACAGUUAUUUAGGGCAAACCCAGGUGCAUAACUGUGAAGGACGCAUACCUUGAACUUUCUUCCAGUACUGUUCUCAUAUCCCCCUCUGUUUUUGCCCUCAGAGAGAUUUAUAUUCCUUCAGCUUAAGUGGCACUUGAGUGUAGAGUGGAGGAGCUGGUAGCUGAUAUGGCCAUGAACAAGACAGGUGGUGACUUUAGAAGGAGGCUCGCUCUCCACUGUCCAUGGGCUUGGGGCAGGAGAAUUAGGCUAAUCUUGUACAACCUCUACUCCUUUCAUUUCUUACACAGAUUCAUUCACCUUUUAUCUUGCAUGAAAUGCAGGGGAUGCUCUUGGAAUACCAGGGCAGCCAUUGAACAGUAUCAAAGAACCAAGAGGCAUACCCUGCAAUACCAACCAGCUUUGACAAUGGGGAGAAGGGACUACUCCACAUCUAUAAAUAUUUAGGAUUAUUCAUCAAUUCUUUUCAUUUUGCAGGUCCUUUUCUUCUGCGUUCUCAUAGCUUAAUGCCUCCACUGGACUGCUUCCGAAGGAGCAGUCUUUCUGCAGGUGCAGUGUUGUAACAGCUGUGAAACAUUAGUCACCGUUUUAUCAGUGUUAAAACGUUCAAGACAAUGCUUCUAAGAGCACUAUCACUCAACAUACUAUCUAGUAAUUCUAUUGCAACAAGUCAGAAGAUUGAAUAAAACCUUCCAUUCAUGUUGCUCAUCUUGUUCUGUACCCGUGACUGGAGAUCAGCAAGUCUGAGUAAACCCCUUCCAGCUGUAAGCUCUGUGUGUUUAUACUGCAACAGUUCAGUAAAUCCAUUCAGCUUCCAGUAAGAAAUGUCUUUGUUUAUGGCUCUUUUACGAUACUCCCAAUCACCGUCAAAGGAUUCUACAGAAAUAUUUUUAAAAGAUUCAGUUCUGACUUAAUCAAUGCCAUUGUAGAUCAGGAAUAACUCCAUUAAGCUGAUAUGAUGUAAAAUCUAGUUUAUAUUUGCAUGCAGCAGUGAUGUGAGCCUUCUGAAAACUUAGGAGUUCAGAUACACUUAUGGCAAGUCCUGUGUAUGAUAAUUUACUUAAUGAACAUACUGAUGCCCAUGUUAUCUCAACUAAAUUGAGUAGUUGAGACUAAACUCUGAACCCCCUGAAAUCUUGACAAGUAUUGCCAUAGAUAUAGCUGACUCAGGAUUUCACAGAAUACAUAUUUAUUAGGGACUGCUGUUAAGAGAAUUCUCCCGUGUUUUAAAUCACUCUGCAGUGGUGAAUAAUUAAUACUCAGAAAAAGUUCAAUAUUUCUUUCUGCAAGUAGGCCAAGCCACCAGCCUACUGGAUUUGAAGAUGCAGCUCAAAUAUGCAUAAUCUCCUAUUUCAACAGUAUCGCCUGCACUUGCAGCAGAGCACUGCACACUCACUCUCUCUUCCUUGCCUCCGUAGUUUCUUUACUGUGGAAAAGAGUUUACACCUAACAAUGACAUUAAAACAGGAGUUAGUUACUGUACGUGUUUGCACGCCAGAAGCAGCUGCUGUCAGUAUGAAAGGGGAAAGGAAGUGAGGAGAUCCUGCACUGCUCUGGAAAAUACAGGUGCUGAGAGGAAACUUUUAUCCAGAAGAGUUUGUCAAAGAUAAGGGCAUAGGAAAGGAGAAAAGCGAUGAAGAACACUUCAGAGAUAAAAACAUUAGCUCCAGCCCAAUCUCCAGUAAAUAAAUUUACAUCUCUAACUGCUGCUUAUGACUAUCCAGAGAGAGGUACCACGUGAAUGGGAGGAGAGCAGAGCUAACCUCACCUCUGUGACUGUGAGCAGAGGCCAAAUUCCAGUUUGAAGAAUUCCUGUUUGUCUGAUUUCUUCCUCCAAAAUCUGGAACAGCUGCAGAGUUUUACCUGACAGCUGCCUACAUCUGAGAAGUGGAUCUCAACUCUACCAGCAGCCUAUAACACCACAGCAAGUGACCUCCAAGGGGUCUACUGAGCCUCAUUGAGCAAUGAAAACAUGAUGACCUUGAUCAAAUAUCUCAGCUGUAGUGAACAUCAAAUAACAGUAAUUGCAAAGGUUGACAAUUAUUUGAGGGACAAGAAGUCUGGAGAUUUUGUAUCAGUAGAAUUCUAACAGCUUCAACAGAAUGCUCUUGAUUUAAGUUGGAAUAAUUGAAAAAUUAAUCACAUCUACAUAUCACCAGAAGAAAGGAGAAAUAAACCAUCUUGGAAUUUGUAGUUCACUAUAAUCUGAAGUAGAGAAGUCCUUGGAGAAAUCCAGUCUAAAAUAAUGCCAAACCUCAGCACCGUAUUAGGAAACAUAUCUUUACACUACAGACCAGUUGUUAUUCCAGAGUUGCUUCCUGGUUGAAGCACAACAUGCUUUGUUACUCCAUGCUCACCUGUGUGAAUACAACAGGUUUGGCUACAGAUGAAUGCAUAUAAAGAGUUGGAAGAGAUCACGUUCAGUGCUUUGUCCUUCGUUCUGGUGAGGUGCACUUCUGUUUCCCUACUGAGAGCUCCUAGGCACAUGGAAGCUGUAAGGCCAACCACCUAACCAUAGGAGGGAUGGGAUCGCUGGCAAACAACACAUCCUGCUUCACCUCAAGCACCCUCCACUCUCCAGAAGGUACUUUCCUGCACAUGGCUGAGGAGCUGCUGGAAGACUGAAGGGGCACUCCCUUCAGCUGUGGGGCUGCCCCACCUCCAGUGCUGCUCUUCUGGCACCCAGCUCCUCCCAUGCUCCUUGUGCAGCUGGUGGCCCAGGAAGGAGCCAGCAUUGCCUCAAAUGGAACAGAGAGCAUCAGGCUGUUUUCUCUUUAAAAGAAGAACAAAAACAAAACAAAAACUAGGCUUUCCCCUUUGUUUCUGCCUUCCUGACUCCCUGGUUCAUGUCCUUCAUUAAGGCGUCUUUCUCAGUCAAGUUCUGCAAGGGCCUUCUAGCAAAAAGAGUAAGUAUAUACACAUGCACAUCUAUCUAUAUAUUUGCGCACACACACUUCUAAUAUAUACACACAUAUAAAGAAUAAUGUUUACUCUCAUGCAUAAUACAGUAACAGUGCAAGUGUGUGGAGCAUGGCUGAUUUAUGUACCUAUGCACCAGCCACUCCCUUCAGAUACAGUUGCCAAGAUCCCAAAACAGGGCCUGUUUCCCCAUUGCCAUGGCAACAACAGGUGAGAAGCAGCAUUUCCUAUAAGGAAAGAAAGAGAUGCUGCCAGGCUGAGUAGAGGCCAGGAGCAGGCUGCUCCUUGUGCUCCCUAGGGCAGCCAUCACAUACUGGCUUUGUAGCAGCCAGCACCGUGACCUCACCAGCAGGACCUCAGGCACCAGUGCUCAAGGCUCCCCAGGCCUUGCCCAGUGCAGGCUGGAGGAAAGCAUAGCAGCUGCCUGGGGAGGCUGGCAGGGCUGCAGGGCCACCGGGACCACAAGCAGCUGGCUUAGUGCCUCCCAUCUGCACUGCCUUCACCUGACCCACCUGGAGGAGCUUUGUGAUGUGGGAAGUGGCACACCUGAAAAAAAAAAACAAACACCACAACCAAACAAAACCAAGCAAACAGUUGCCAAGCUUUUGAGCCUACUGUGCCUGGAGGCUGAGUAAGCCUGGUCUUUCUCUGUAAGAACUGGUUUCCUCCCUACCACUUUGGCAGCUAAGAUUAAUGCAUUUUAAACAGCACGUAGGUUCACUUGAGUUAUUUUUUACUUCCUCCUCUUACUUAUGAGAGAAAUCUGACCACGGUAACAGGAAAUUUAAAACAUCAUAUUAGCUUUGCUUUGAGGCACGUGCACAAACCUAAAGCCUGGGUAAAUAAUGAAUAAAAUCUCAGCCACUCUCUGUUAUUCCAACCCACUUCUGCAUCCUUGAGAGUCUGAUCAUCACUAUAACAGCAUUAAAACGAAACUGAUUGUGACUGGAUAUAAAUACCUGGUCUUAAACAUAAGCUUUUCUUCCUUAAGUGAACAUAUCUGGGUGUGGAUGAUCUGCUAUUAGUGGGCAAAAUGGGUGGUGAAGUGAGAAAAUGCAUUCUCACAGCUAUCUUAGACAUCACUGCAGAGAAAGCCUUCAUAAUAAGGUGUGGUAUACAGAAGAAUGUCCAAAGCAUGGCAGCUAUCUGAUGACUAAAAGCAUAUUACGUGCUCAAAGCAGAUCAGCAUCAACACACCGCCUGUUCCUGUCCAUCCUCCCUUAGAACUUGUUAGUGCUUCCACUGAGGUGCACAGAAGCUCAGCCCUUGCCCACAGGGAGCCCACCCAGAAGAGACAAAGUUAGCUUUGAACAACUUGGUACCAACAAAUUCAG